AUUGAACGCUGGCGGCAUGCCUUACACAUGCAAGUCGAACGGUAACAGGUCUUCGGAUGCUGACGAGUGGCGAACGGGUGAGUAAUACAUCGGAACGUGCCCGAGAGUGGGGGAUAACGAAGCGAAAGCUUUGCUAAUACCGCAUACGAACCCAGGAUGAAAGCCGGGGACCGCAAGGCCUUGCGCUCACGGAGCGGCCGAUGGCAGAUUAGGUAGUUGGUGGGAUAAAAGCUUACCAAGCCGACGAUCUGUAGCUGGUCUGAGAGGACGACCAGCCACACUGGGACUGAGACACGGCCCAGACUCCUACGGGAGGCAGCAGUGGGGAAUUUUGGACAAUGGGCGCAAGCCUGAUCCAGCCAUGCCGCGUGCAGGAUGAAGGCCUUCGGGUUGUAAACUGCUUUUGUACGGAACGAAAAGACUCUGGUUAAUACCUGGGGUCCAUGACGGUACCGUAAGAAUAAGCACCGGCUAACUACGUGCCAGCCGCCGCGGUAACAC
rnacentral:rRNA from 1 species